GUCCAGCUGACGAGUCCCAAAUAGGAUGAAACGCGCAUUCUGGAU
rnacentral:hammerhead_ribozyme from 1 species